UGUCUUGCAGGCCGUCAUGCAGGCCACACUGACGGUAACGUUGCAGGUCGUCUUGCAGGGCUUC
ensembl:miRNA